GGAGGGGUGGCCGAGUGGUUUAAGGCACCGGUCUUGAAAACCGGCGUGCGGGAAACCGUACCGUGGGUUCGAAUCCCACCCCCUCCG
rnacentral:tRNA from 2 species